rnacentral:rRNA from 1 species
CGUAGGUCCCGAGCGUUGUCCGGAUUUAUUGGGCGUAAAGACGAGCGCAGGCGGUUAGAUAAGUCUGAAGUUAAAGGCUGUGGCUUAACCAUAGUACGCUUUGGAAACUAGUUUAACUUGAGUGCAAGAGGGGGAGAGUGGAAUUCCAUGUGUAGCGGUGAAAUGCGUAGAUAUAUGGAGGAACACCGGUGGCGAAAGCGGCUCUCUGGCUUGUAACUGACGCUGAGGCUCGAAAGACGUGGGGGAGGCAAACAGGAUU